AGAGUUUGAUCAUGGCUCAGGACGAACGCUGGCGGCGUGCCUAAUACAUGCAAGUAGAACGCUGAAGGAGGAGCUUGCUUCUCCGGAUGAGUUGCGAACGGGUGAGUAACGCGUAGGUAACCUGCCUGGUAGCGGGGGAUAACUAUUGGAAACGAUAGCUAAUACCGCAUAAGAGUAGAUGUUGCAUGACAUUUGCUUAAAAGGUGCAAUUGCAUCACUACCAGAUGGACCUGCGUUGUAUUAGCUAGUUGGUGGGGUAACGGCUCACCAAGGCGACGAUACAUAGCCGACCUGAGAGGGUGAUCGGCCACACUGGGACUGAGACACGGCCCAGACUCCUACGGGAGGCAGCAG
rnacentral:rRNA from 1 species